CGAACCCGAAGCAUAUAUGCAUGUUCAUUCUUAUCGUUGCAGAUAUAUAUAGAUCUACAAGUUCGGCACAAUUAAUCAGUAUGGUGUAAAACAAUCGCUAGCUGGAUGUUGAUUUCGAUCGGUUAUGAAUUGAUGGUGACAUGCAUUGAAUACAACAAUUAAAGAAAGGCUUCGAGCUUAGAUGAAAGUGAUGGAUCGGAGGUGUUUGUUUAUACAGUAAGCUAGCAACAAUGGCCAUGAUGUAGCAUGUGAGCUAACCUAAAUGUCUAGCUCUUUAAUUAGGGCGUGUUUGCUUGUGAUGCAAGAAAUGCUCAUUACCAGUUAUUUUCAGGACGUUAUAGAAGUCAAUCAAUCUGCUUAUUGCUAUAGCAAGUUCUAGAUCGAACUUGAAAUGUAUAGGAUUUUGCUGUCAAUUUUAUUGUUGCUACCAAAUCGUUAUUAUAUAUGAUCUUUGUGAAAAACAGGCUGCUACAAACCAGCUGAUCAACCACAAUGUGGAAAACAAGCAAAUCAUUGAUAAUGCAGUAGCUAGCUAUGACUAUCUGUAGGGAUCGAAGCAAGCCUCAAAUGAACAUCCAUGCCACGAAAACCAACAUCAUGAGCGAAAUUCCCACAUCAGCGGUUGAAGCAGAUAAUGAACCAGAAGCGGAGGAUGGAGUCGUAGUGGCUGGAGAGUCAGUUGUUGGGGAUGUAGUUGCAGAUGUAAAACCAUAAUUACAUGCUCACAAUCAUAUGCACAACAAUCACAAAAGAACUAAAGCUUACCUUCAGCAAUCAUUGUCAUGGAUUCCAUCUUAUGCAGCUGCUAAACACGAUCACUGAAUAUGGUCUUCUGUUACUUAUCAACUUGCUUCUCAAUGGACAGAACUUAUGCAAUAGUCGUUGUAGUAAUCAGGGACCAAUUCAUAUGUAUAUAUAUGAGACUUAAACCUCAAGAAGCUUCCCAUUAAAGCAUUCCUUGUCGGUUUAGGUUUCACUGUUAGAUUCCUAAUGUAUCACAACUUGUAGCCUUUCUUGUAGACUAAGCAAUGGAUUACUAUCCUUAAUGAAUUGAUACACUACUUCAUUAAGUCACUAGUAUCGAUUCACUGUUUGUAUCCAUGUUAAACUAGGAUUGAUAUUAAGCUAAUCAUCAAUUACUUUAUGAUGAUAUGUGUUAUGUCCA